rnacentral:rRNA from 1 species
AUUGAACGCUGGCGGCAGGCCUAACACAUGCAAGUCGAGCGGAAGAAGGGUGCUUGCUUCUGGAUUCAGCGGCGGACGGGUGAGUAAUGCCUAGGAAUCUGCCUGGUAGUGGGGGAUAACGUCCGGAAGCGGGCGCUAAUACCGCAUACGUCCCGAGGGAGAAAGUGGGGGAUCUUCGGACCUCACGCUCUCAGAUGAGCCUAGGUCGGAUUAGCUAGUUGGUGGGGUAAAGGCCUACCAAGCCGACGAUCCGUAACUGGUCUGAGAGGAUGAUCAGUCACACUGGAACUGAGACACGGUCCAGACUCCUACGGGAGGCAGCAGUGGGGAAUAUUGGACAAUGGGCGAAAGCCUGAUCCAGCCAUGCCGCGUGUGUGAAGAAGGUCUUCGGAUUGUAAAGCACUUUUAGUGGGGAGGAAGGGCAGUAGGUUAAUACCUUGCUGUUUUGACGUUACCAACAGAAUAAGCACCGGCUAACUUCGUG